UACGGGGGGGGCAAGCGUUGUUCGGAAUUACUGGGCGUAAAGGGCUCGUAGGCGGCCAACUAAGUCAGACGUGAAAUCCCCCGGCUUAACCAGGGAACUGCGUCUGAUACUGGAUGGCUUGAGUUUGGGAGAGGGAUGCGGAAUUCCAGGUGUAGCGGUGAAAUGCGUAGAUAUCUGGAGGAACACCGGCGGUGUAGACGGCUUGCUAGACCACCCCUGACGCUGAGGCACGAAAGCGUGGGUAGCAAACAGG
rnacentral:rRNA from 1 species